UAGUCAUAUGUGUGACAAUAGGUAGGUGAAUAGUCUUAUGUGCAUUAAAAUGUAGGUGUAUAGUCCUAUGUGUGACAAAAGGUAGGUGAAUAGUCGUAUAUGUGACAAUAGGUAGCUGAAUAGUCUUAUGUGUGAGAAUAGGUAGUUGGAUAGUCUAAUGUGUGAGAAUAGGUAGAUGAAUAGUCUUAUGUGUGAGAAUAAGUAGGUGAAUAGUCUUAU